rnacentral:rRNA from 1 species
UGCACCCCGCUGACGAGCGGCGGACGGGUGAGUAAUGCUUAGGAAUCUGCCCAGUAGUGGGGGAUAGCCCGGGGAAACCCGGAUUAAUACCGCAUACGUCCUACGGGAGAAAGCAGGGGAUCUUCGGACCUUGCGCUACUGGAUGAGCCUAAGUCGGAUUAGCUAGUUGGUGGGGUAAAGGCCUACCAAGGCGACGAUCCGUAGCUGGUCUGAGAGGAUGAUCAGCCACAUCGGGACUGAGACACGGCCCGAACUCCUACGGGAGGCAGCAGUGGGGAAUAUUGGACAAUGGGGGCAACCCUGAUCCAGCCAUGCCGCGUGUGUGAAGAAGGCUUUCGGGUUGUAAAGCACUUUCAGCGAGGAGGAAGGCUCUGAAGUUAAUACCUUCAGGGAUUGACGUUACUCGCAGAAGAAGCACCGGCUAACUCCGUGCCAGCAGCCGCGGUAAUACGGAGGGUGCAAGCGUUAAUCGGAAUUACUGGGCGUAAAGCGCGCGUAGGUGGUUAGGUAAGCGAGAUGUGAAAGCCCCGGGCUUAACCUGGGAACGGCAUUUCGAACUGUCUGACUAGAGUGUGGUAGAGGGUAGUGGAAUUUCCUGUGUAGCGGUGAAAUGCGUAGAU